rnacentral:rRNA from 1 species
UACGGAGGGUGCGAGCGUUGUUCGGAAUUACUGGGCGUAAAGCGCGUGCAGGCGGUCGAUUAAGUCCGGUGUGAAAGCCCGGGGCUCACCCCCGGAAGUGCGCUGGAAACUAAUCAACUAGAGUACGGGAGAGGGAAGUGGAAUUCCUGGUGUAGCGGUGAAAUGCGCAGAUAUCAGGAGGAACACCAGCGGCGAAGGCGGCGCUCUGGGCCGGUACUGACGCUGAGGAGCGAAAGCGUGGGGAUCAAACAGG